GUGAAUCAUCGAAUCUUUGAACGCAAAUUGCACUCCCUGGUAUUCCGGGGAGUAUGCCUGUUUGAGGGUCGUUAGAAUAAAAAAUCGAUUGGUCGCUGUUUUUUUUAAGGGUGAUUGCGUUGGAAUUGAGCCGUCUUUCUAAUGGUAAUUUAUGUUAAUGUUGUUUGAAAUUUAUCCAUCUGGUUAG
rnacentral:misc_RNA from 1 species